AGUGAACGCUGGCGGUAGGCCUAACACAUGCAAGUCGAACGGCAGCACAGUAAGAGCUUGCGCUUACGGGUGGCGAGUGGCGGACGGGGGAGGAAUACAUCGGAAUCUACUUUUUCGUGGGGGAUAACGGAGGGAAACUUACGCUAAUACCGCAUACGACCUACGGGUGAAAGCAGGGGAUCGUCGGACCUUGCGCGAUUGAAUGAGCCGAUGUCGGAUUAGCUAGUUGGCGGGGUAAAGGCCCACCAAGGCGACGAUCCGUAGCUGGUCUGAGAGGAUGAUCCGCCACACUGUAACUGAGACACGGUCCAGACUCCUACGGGAGGCAGCAGUGGGGAAUAUUGGACAAUGGGCGCAAGCCUGAUCCAGCCAUACCGCGUGGGUGACGAAGGCCUUCGGGUUGUAAAGCCCUUUUGUUGGGAAAGAAAAGCAGCAGGUUAAUCCCCCGCUGUUCUGACGGUACCCAAAGAAUAAGCACCGGCUAACUUCGUG
rnacentral:rRNA from 1 species